ACAACGAAGAGUUUGAUCCUGGCUCAGGAUAAACGCUAGCGGCAGGCCUAACACAUGCAAGUCGAGCGGUAACAUGAGAUAGCAAUAUUUUGAUGACGAGCGGCGGACGGG
rnacentral:rRNA from 1 species